CGAGGGGAGUGAAAAAGAACCUGAAACCGUGUACGUACAAGCAGUGGGAGCACGCUUAGGCGUGUGACUGCGUACCUUUUGUAUAAUGGGUCAGCGACUUAUAUUCUGUAGCAAGGUUAACCGAAUAGGGGAGCCGAAGGGAAACCGAGUCUUAACUGGGCGUUAAGUUGCAGGGUAUAGACCCGAAACCCGGUGAUCUAGCCAUGGGCAGGUUGAAGGUUGGGUAACACUAACUGGAGGACCGAACCGACUAAUGUUGAAAAAUUAGCGGAUGACUUGUGGCUGGGGGUGAAAGGCCAAUCAAACCGGGAGAUAGCUGGUUCUCCCCGAAAGCUAUUUAGGUAGCGCCUCGUGAAUUCAUCUCCGGGGGUAGAGCACUGUUUCGGCAAGGGGGUCAUCCCGACUUACCAACCCGAUGCAAACUGCGAAUACCGGAGAAUGUUAUCACGGGAGACACACGGCGGGUGCUAACGUCCGUCGUGAAGAGGGAAACAACCCAGACCGCCAGCUAAGGUCCCAAAGUCAUGGUUAAGUGGGAAACGAUGUGGGAAGGCCCAGACAGCCAGGAUGUUGGCUUAGAAGCAGCCAUCAUUUAAAGAAAGCGUAAUAGCUCACUGGUCGAGUCGGCCUGCGCGGAAGAUGUAACGGGGCUAAACCAUGCACCGAAGCUGCGGCAGCGACGCUGAUGCGUUGUUGGGUAGGGGAGCGUUCUGUAAGCCUGCGAAGGUGUGCUGUGAGGCAUGCUGGAG
rnacentral:rRNA from 1 species